AUUGAACGCUGGCGGCAGGCCUAACACAUGCAAGUCGAACGAGUGGCGGACGGGUGAGUAAUGUCUGGGAAACUGCCCGAUGGAGGGGGAUAACUACUGGAAACGGUAGCUAAUACCGCAUACAAUCGGAUGUGCCCAGAUGGGAUUAGCUAGUAGGGGGGGUAACGGCUCACCUGGGCGACGAGCCGUAGCUGGUCUGAGAGGAGGAACAGCCACACUGGAACUGAGACACGUGCCAUACUCCUACGGGAGGCAGCAGUGGGGAAUAUUGCACAAUGGGCGCAAGCCGGAUGCAGCCAUGCCGCGUGUAUGAAGAAGGCCUUUGGGUUGUAAAGUACUUUCAGCGAGGAGGCGUUACUCGCAGAAGAAGCGUCGGCUAACUCCGUGCCAGCCGCCGCGGUAAUUC
rnacentral:rRNA from 1 species